GACGUAGGGAGCAAGCGUUAUCCGGAUUUACUGGGCGUAAAGCGCGCGUAGGCGGUCUGUUAAGUGCGAAGUGAAAUCUCCGGGCUCAACUCGGAAACUGCUUCGCAUACUGGCAGACUUGAGGGAUGCAGAGGCUUAUGGAAUUCCUGGUGUAGCGGUGAAAUGCGUAGAUAUCAGGAGGAACACCCAUGGCGAAGGCAGUAAGCUGGGCAUCAUCUGACGCUGAGGUGCGAAAGCGUGGGUAGCAAACAGG
rnacentral:rRNA from 1 species